CUUAGAAAUAAUUUUUGAAAUUCAAGGUUCUAAUGCCCAAUUAUCACGCUUCCACUCCUUCAGUUUUGAGCCAUGAAAGAGACAGUUGUACCUGGUUGUAAAAAGUUGCUUUAAUUACAAGAAGAUAAUUUAAGCAAAAGUUUCAUCAAGUGGUAGCAUCAGAAGUCCUCACAUAAAAUGCAACUGAGUGCAUAUCAUGCCAAAUUCUACAAAAUUUUACCUCAUGGCAGUGAUAGUUUGGACCAGGAAGGUGCGUUGAAUAGAAUGUAACUAUCCGGAGAAUCUGGCAAGCCUAAAAAGGGAAAGGGAAAGGGAAAGGGAAAAAAAAAUACUAAAACCAAUUGUAAGAUAAAGAUACUAGAACAGCAAAAAAUGUUUCUCCCAUCAUUCCAGUCAGUGGGCCUAGAUGAUAUGGGGUUAAAAGGCCAUAGUCAUGACUAAACAAGCCAUCUUCUUGCUAUAGGUAUAAAAUGUGUAGCAUUUUAUGUUCUCGACUAUUAUCAUGAGUAGAGUUACAGUA
rnacentral:misc_RNA from 1 species